UGCUCCGGAUCCGCCGACGCCCCCCGCGCUUCGCUCCCCCGCCGCUCUGCCCCGCUCCCAGCCGGACCCGCGCCCCGCGGAGGCCGUUUGCCCCCACCCCGUGAGAGCGCCCUGAGCUCCCGCAGAGCAGAGCAGUUACGGCGCGGGGCGGUGAAUUAUUUAACGUGGUUGGAGAUCCUGGCACCGGCGUGUGCCCGUGUGAGCACUGCGGUAUUGGGGAGGUGCAGGGAAGCGCACACACAGUAAAUAGACGCUUAUGUUGAUUUGGGCACGGGGGAAAUGGUUUCCGGCCAACAUUUCCCACCCCCAGGAGCCAUCCUGCCGACAGCCCCCAGCACAAACCCCAGCACAGCGGUGACGGCUGUGUCCACGGAGGCUGAAGUCGUGCAAAGCCAAACCAGCGCUCUCCGGAUCCCUGCAGCCCCCCCCCCCCGUGCUCCCCAAUAGGACCCCGUGCCCCUCAGCGCUGCGGGAGCUCCCUGACCUUCACUGCUGCCUUCGUGCAGCGCCGGGCUGCGCUCUGAAGGGUUGGGUUUCACCUGGGGACAGAUCGAAGCUUCAGGGCCGUGCAGGGGCAGAGCUAAGGUGACCCCGAAGGACGUGUGGGGUGUGGGGUCCCUGCAGAGGGGGCUCUGGGCAGUGGGAACCGUUGCAUUUAUUGCCUGGAGGUGGGAAUUGCUCCAUGCUGCCGAUGGGCUGUCCGGCCGACGUCCCGCUCUUGCUGGGGAAGCAUUGGGAGAGCUCAGUUUGGAAGCAAAGAACCGCUGAUUUAUUUUUUAACCACAGACGUCACUCCUCCAACUUGUUUGUUGGGCGCUGCGAGCCGCUCAUAAAUCAGAGGGCCGGAGCCCCGGCACGGCUCAGCACGGCCCUCCCCGAGGCUUCCAUCGCGAUAGUUUCGCUUUUGCAGAUCGCACCCAGGCUGCCCCAGCCGUGCAACCCUCCCCUGCUUCACAGCGCUGCAGGUGCAGCUGUGCCCGAGGGCUGAGCUGCACACACACAGCACGGGGCUGCAGUGGGCACCUCCACCACCGCCGGAGCUGCGGACGGAGCCGGCUGGAAUCAAUGGGCACAACCCACAAAUGGGGCCGGGGAAGCCUGCAGGAGUUAUCCCGGCUGUGAGCGGUGCCUCCUCCGGUCCGGCCCUAAAGAGCGUUUCCGAUGCUGGGCAAUGCGAGGAGCGGGGAGGCCUGCGUGCCUGGAGCCUGCUGCCCUCUUGGGAUUGCAGCUCAAAUUCCUGGCACGGACAGGAGGCCGGGAUUUGCAACUACAGGAUUUCCACGGUUUCCCGGCUCUCGCACCGCCGAACCACGGCAAACUCAGCGCUUCCACCAGCAGAAGAGCAGAGCCGCCGGCGCUGGCACCGUCCCUCGUGCUGUCCCAGCUCUGCCGACACCACGGAGCCCCUCUGGGACACAGCGCCAAGUACGUCACACUGCCCCACGUCGGACACAAAGACUACGAGCUGCAAAACCUCACCCGAGCUCCAGCCAAGAGCUCAGCCCGGCCGCGCCGCUGCCAGCAUCCCUGCAGCACUGCACCGCUCACUGCUCCUCACUGCGGGUCCAGGCUGAUGCCAGGCUCUGCUUCUCAAUGAGAGGGCACACGUUAUCUUACAAAGGGAAUUUAUUUCGUUUGAGGAAGCUUAUGUGACAUGCAUCAACCGAAGCCAGUACAACAGUGAACAGUGGGGCUGGGGUUCAUCCAGACUGCCAUUAGCAUCUCUGGAACAAACCGGGUCAAGUUCAGGAAUCAUUUUGCCUUUAGAAAAUACAGUCAUAAUACAAGGAAUGUUUUUGUUUUCACUUUAAUUACUCUCCCCCUACUCCCUGCCCCCUAGCUGCAUAUAUUCAAUGCUCCAGCUUACCAAAAAAGGAGGCAGGAGAGGGCAACCUAACACACAUCCACGCUCCCCCCUCCCACCCGUAACAGACCACUGAGAUGGUAGGACUGAAUCUAGCUCUAUUCGGGGAGAAACACAAACAGAGUACCAGGAAUAAAGCUCUUGCAACAAA